AAUGCCGCAAUAUCAGCAGCAAUGGGCGCAACAGGUACCCCAGCAGGUUCAACCGCAGCAGCUUCCAACCGUGCACCAGCAAGCUAGACCCUCAUCUCCUGCUGUUUAUCCCUCUUAUCAACCCAGUCAGCCAAAUCCUUCUCCUGAGGCGGUCCACAAUAGCAUGCCAAUGCAAGUGUCAUUUUCUGCAAUCCCUCAACCAGCUGCGAGCCGUCCAGAGGCGAUGCCCUAUGGGUAUGAUAGGUCUGGCAGGCCGCUUCAGUCACAGCCCCUGUCCCAGCAUCUCAAGCCUUCGUUUGGUGCUCCAGGGGAUAGCUAUGCAGCUAGUGGGCCUCAUCCAUCCCUUUCUGCAGGAAAUGCAUAUUUGAUGUACGACAGUGAAGGCACAAGGGGACAUCCAUCACAACCACCUAAUUUCCCACAAAGUGGUUAUCCUCCCUCCAGCUUCGCUCCCCAGAACCCGCAGUCCACCCCCAGCCCCAAUAUUAUGGUUCGUCCACC
rnacentral:lncRNA from 1 species